UGCAGUCGACGGUAGCACAGAGAGCUUGCUCUCGGGUGACGAGUGGCGGACGGGUGAGUAAUGUCUGGGAAACUGCCUGAUGGAGGGGGAUAACUACUGGAAACGGUAGCUAAUACCGCAUAACGUCGCAAGACCAAAGAGGGGGACCUUCGGGCCUCUUGCCAUCAGAUGUGCCCAGAUGGGAUUAGCUAGUAGGUGGGGUAACGGCUCACCUAGGCGACGAUCCCUAGCUGGUCUGAGAGGAUGACCAGCCACACUGGAACUGAGACACGGUCCAGACUCCUACGGGAGGCAGCAGUGGGGAAUAUUGCACAAUGGGCGCAAGCCUGAUGCAGCCAUGCCGCGUGUAUGAAGAAGGCCUUCGGGUUGUAAAGUACUUUCAGCGGGGAGGAAGGCGGUGAGGUUAAUAACCUCAUCGAUUGACGUUACCCGCAGAAGAAGCACCGGCUAACUCCGUGCCAGCAGCCGCGGUAAUACGGAGGGUGCAAGCGUUAAUCGGAAUUACUGGGCGUAAAGCGCACGCAGGCGGUCUGUCAAGUCGGAUGUGAAAUCCCCGGGCUCAACCUGGGAACUGCAUUCGAAACUGGCAGGCUAGAGUCUUGUAGAGGGGGGUAGAAUUCCAGUGUAGCGGUGAAAUGCGUAGAGAUCUGGAGGAAUACCGGGUGGCGAAGCGGCCCCCUGGGACAAAGACUGACGCUCAGUGCGAAAGCGUGGGGGAGC
rnacentral:rRNA from 1 species